AGGAUUAACGCUGGCGGCGUGCCUAACACAUGCAAGUCGAACGAGGUAGCAAUACCUAGUGGCAGACGGGUGAGUAACGCGUGGUCAACCUACCGUUGAGUGGGGGAUAACUAGCCGAAAGGUUAGCUAAUACCGCAUACGUGUCCGAGGGGCAUCCCUUGGCCAUAAAAGGAGCAAUCCGCUCGAUGACGGGACCGCGUCCCAUUAGCUAGAUGGUGGGGUAACGGCCUACCAUGGCACCGAUGGGUAGCUGGUUUGAGAGAGCGACCAGCCACACUGGGACUGAGAAACGGCCCAGACUCCUACGGGAGGCAGCAGUUAGGAAUUUUCGGCAAUGGGGGCAACCCUGACCGAGCAACGCCGCGUGCAGGAGGAAGGUCUUCGGAUCGUAAACUGCUUUUCUGUGGGAAGAGAACGGACGGUACCACAGGAAGAAGCCCCGGCUAACUACGUGCCAGCAGCCGC
rnacentral:rRNA from 1 species